GUCAAAUUGUUGUUGUUGUUGUGAUCGUGCUUGCCGCACAGUGAGGGGUUAUCUCCUUUCCCCCGACCCCCACGUCCCUCCUCGAGUCGACACGGGGGGAACCCUCAAUUGCCGCCGCCGGCCGACCCUCGUCCCUCCCAUCCCCCUCGCCGCCGCCGAGGGCCGCUCCCGGGCAAAGCCCGGGCAGGGCCGGCGGCGGCGGGGCCUCUCCACCGCGCGACUCCCCACCCCAUGGCCAUGGCGCAUGUCUCUGUCUCCAGCGGCGCUUGGUGGCGUGGUGCUGCGAUUCGCGGCGGCGGCGGCCUGGCGCGGUGGCUGCGGGGGUGGUUUGAGCCCCGUACGGUGGUGUUGCCUGUGGCAGUGAUGGCUGCUGGUUUCGAGUCCGCCCCGAUCCUCUUCUUUGGAUCUGGAUCUGGCCGGCCCGUACUCGGUCGUGGCUGCCGGCAGGCGUGGUGGCGCCGGGCCUCCACGGCUGCCAGGCACGGUGGUGGUGCUGGCGGUUGCGUUGGGAGCUUGGUGUGGUGGUGGCCGACGACAGAGCACAGCGGGCGGCAUGGAGUUGCAACGGUCUUGGUGGGGUCUGCGGCGGUGUGGUGUGGUGCGACAGCUUGGUGGCGACGACGCGUGCUGGAGAUGGCGGCGCGAACCACCGUCCAGAUUGGUGGCGGAGCUGCGAUGGCUCGGCUAGGAUGGAGUUCCUGGCGAGCAGCGAGCGUCCGGGCCACCUCUGGGCUUGUGUGGUGAGUGAUGGUGCUCUCCCGGUGGUGCCGGCGUGGGAGUUGUCCGCGGCUUGGUGUUGGAUCGCCGCAAGGCUGUCACUUGGAGCGGAUGAUAGCCUUCAGUGGCGGUCCUGGCCCUUGCUAGAGGAGUUGGGUGGCUGCGAAUCCUUGGCCAGGUUGUAGGUGUUUGGUGGGCGGUGUUUUCCUGCUGUGCGGUCUGUCGGCGGCUCUCGGCUAUGCAGCUACGACGGCGAGGCGCUGCGGUGGCGGCGGUGCGAAGCAUCUUGGAUGGUGCUGCCCAAUUCCUUCGAGGUGGUGAAAUGUGUGAUGCUCGGAUGAAAAUCUUGCACGGCUCUUGCCGGGCCGGCGGCGAUGGCGCCCGUGGGUGUCAUUCCCCUCCUUGGAGGCGUUGCCGAGUGUAUUCGACAUUUCCCUCGCUCGUUUGGAGUUGGUUGUUGUCUCCGGGCGAAAGCCUUGAUUCGGUCGGAUCGGCAUGAUGGCGGUGUACAUGGCGUCGUUCCUCUGUUGAGAGCAUCGUGUUUGGAGACAUGGCCUGGUUCCUCGUUGCUCUCCUCCGGUGUUCGCUGUGGCCCAAUUUUGAUUAUCGGCGGCGCUAUGCACGACCGUCGUCGGUGUGUCCAAGACGGUGUUUUCCUCGGAUCGGAUCAAGUCCUGCCAUUUACUUGCCACUUCCUCUUCAGCAUUCAGGGUGGAUGGGUGCGUUGACAAGUGAAGUUCUGUGGGAGCAGUUGGUCUUCGGAGGUGCCGACAUGGGUCGAGACGUGGUGUUGUUAUCUGUUGGGCAAGCACUUGCGCUUUGUAGUGUUGUAUGGUCGUUGGUGGCCUGGGUGUGGUGGUUGUGCUACACUCGUUAUUCGCAGCGAGUGAUAGUCAUUUUGUACUUAUAAUUCUGCCUCUAUAAAGUUAUGAUACGCCUAGGCGUACCCUCGAAAAAGAAUUUGGCACCUGG
rnacentral:rRNA from 1 species